rnacentral:lncRNA from 1 species
GGGAGAAGAGAGAGAGAGAGAGAGAGACUGAUUGAUUGACAAAAUAAAAUAAAGUUUUAGUUUGUGAAGAAACAAAAGCAUAAAAUGAAAAUGAGAUAGGAGAAUAGGUCAAUGAUUACGUCGUCUGAAACUGAUUGCACGAAAUAAGGGAAGAGGAGAAAGAUAAAUUAAUUUGUGCUUCCUUUCGUUCUAGUUUGUGAACUCUAUAUUCGAGCUUUUGAUAGUUCAAAUCA